CAAAAUGGCAAGUACUAUUUCACAAAGAUGUUGCUUUCUCAUCCGAUGCAAAAAUAGAGGCCAGGUUUUACCUCCUCUAUUCAAAUCAUUACUAUCUCAACAUGGCCGUCACACAAUUACCUUCAUGCAUGGAACAAAACAAUGGAAUAUUACAGUAAAUGCUGACUCGUUUGGAGCAGGAUGGGAUAAAUAUUGUGAACAAAAUAUUACUAAUGAACAUCACAUACUAUUGCUUCGACAUAUUGGGAAUUUAUUUUUUGAUGUUAUUAAUUUUUGUGAAUUGCAAAUCUCAGCUGGACAGUCCCUCUAACCAACCUUCAUCUUCAACAAAAUUUUCAUGCUGAUCCGCCAAUUCAUGAAGAAAUAGUGACAUCUUCACUUCAACCUCAUUUUUCGCAAGAUUUAUCCACUUCAGUAUGCUUCUAUCAAAACUUUCACUCAGCCGACCCAUAUACAUUGAAAAUCCCACGAUUUGUUGACUACUUUCUCAAUGAACAAAAAACUCCACUUAUAGCUCUCAAAACUGGAGAUAACAUAACAGAAAUUGGAAUCAAAGGCAAGCGGCUCAAAAAAAAUUGGAAAGCUUUCAUUCUUCAACAUCAACUCCAGCACAAUGACGUCCUUAUUUUCAUUCCAGAAUUGAAGACCAUCUUUACUAUUUUAAUAUUUAACAGCAAUGGGAUGAAAAAAUUUUCCCUUGGUACCCUGUAUUUCAUAUCCAUUAUUAUA